UUUAGUCUAGACAAAGAGUUCUCUAAUGUAGUUGUUGGCUAAAGUGUUAUGCAGGGGCCCCAACCACACUGCAGAACCACGGUCAGUCCAGCAAGUGAGGGAACUGCCUGACAAAGGGGAUGGUCCCUGAGUCAGUCUAACCUGUCAGUUUGGUGGGGCUAGGAAUGAAGGCGGACCAGUUCUUCCUGUGAGGUGCAAACAAAAACUGGAAAAACAGCAAGACAGACUUAUCCAAGUUCUUUCUGGGCGUGGCUGAGGCUGCACCGUCUCAGUCUUUGGCCAUUCCUGAAGCCCUCUCAGCAGGGUCCUCUGUCCUUGCCAAGAAGCUAGAAAGAAUUAGAAGACAGAUGAGUCAGAAUGGAAGAGACGGGGUUUUGCCAUGUUUCCCAGGCUGGUCUUGAACUCCUGGGCUCAAGUGAUCCACCAGCCUCAGCCUCCCAAAGUGCUGAAAUUACAGGCAUGAGCCACCCUCACCUGGCCUGAGUGCUGAAAAACAGAAAAGCCUCAGAGGCCAAAGAUGAAGCACUGGAUGGAAGUUGACCUCCAAGCAGGGAGCAGGCAACUCAGCACCAGCCUAGGCUCCACGUGGGGCUGAGAGAGGGGGAAGGCCACCGACAGUCCCUGCUCCAUGGGGAAGGCAGCCUCUGACUCUGGCUGACGGGCCGGCAGUCGGAUAAGGAUUGGCUGGCAGGAAUGGGCAUCCAGCUGCCUCUGCUGCUGCUGUGAGCUGGGAAUGAUGGUGCCAGUCAAGUCUGCAUGGCCAGGUGGCCGGGCCGGGGUCUCUCAGCUCCAGUGGCUGAAACACACUACAGAAUCAUCAAACCUAGUCUGAGAUAGUCAUGAAAGAGAUUUAGAAAAAGACAUAGUGAUUUUGUUCCCCAUUUGCUUUUUCUAAAAACACUCCUCUCUAAUAAAAUGUAUGACAGCAAUAGCUCUCACUUAUUGCUCAUUUAAUGUGUGGCGAGUGUUUUCCUAAACUCUUUAUAUAUGUGUAUUAGCUCAUUUAAUCCCCACACAAAUCUUAUGAGGUUUUACCACUGUCUUCACUAUAUAGAUAAGGAAAUGGGGGAGUUUAUCUCCAGGAAAGUUAAGAAACUUUACCAAAUAACUUGACCAAGGUUUAAAUGGGGGUCUUACCCAGAGUCAACUUUAACUUCCAGACUGUCUCUACUACAUUUUCUUUAAACAGCUCUUUGUGACGGGCUUGACCUUGCUGCAGGGUCUUCCUGUGAUUCCCAAUUCUUUGGAUUCAACCCACAUUUAAAUCAGUCCUCCUGUUUCUGCCUAAAUAAACCAAUGCUUAUAAUAUUUAAAUAUUUAUUAAGAGUCUCUAUCUCUGCAAUGGUAUAUUUCCAAGAUAAUUUUUCUGAUGAAACCCAGAAGAGAGAGAAAAAGAGAA
rnacentral:lncRNA from 1 species